UACGAAGGGGACUAGCGUUGUUCGGAAUCACUGGGCGUAAAGCGCACGUAGGCGGAUAUGUCAGUCAGGGGGUGAAAUCCCGGGGCUUAACCUCGGAACUGCCUUUGAUACAGCAUAUCUUGAGUCCGAUAGAGGUGGGUGGAAUUCCUAGUGUAGAGGUGAAAUUCGUAGAUAUUAGGAAGAACACCGGUGGCGAAGGCGGCCCACUGGAUCGGUACUGACGCUGAGGUGCGAAAGCGUGGGGAGCAAACAGG
rnacentral:rRNA from 1 species